rnacentral:tRNA from 1 species
UAGCACAGUGGUCAGUGCAGUCUGCCGGAAACAGAAAUACGCGGGUUCAAUUCCCGU